rnacentral:rRNA from 1 species
UGGCUCAGAUUGAACGCUGGCGGCAUGCCUUACACAUGCAAGUCGAACGGCAGCAUAGGAGCUUGCUCCUGAUGGCGAGUGGCGAACGGGUGAGUAAUAUAUCGGAACGUGCCCUAGAGUGGGGGAUAACUAGUCGAAAGAUUAGCUAAUACCGCAUACGAUCUACGGAUGAAAGUGGGGGAUCGCAAGACCUCAUGCUCCUGGAGCGGCCGAUAUCUGAUUAGCUAGUUGGUGGGGUAAAAGCUCACCAAGGCGACGAUCAGUAGCUGGUCUGAGAGGACGACCAGCCACACUGGGACUGAGACACGGCCCAGACUCCUACGGGAGGCAGCAGUGGGGAAUUUUGGACAAUGGGGGCAACCCUGAUCCAGCAAUGCCGCGUGAGUGAAGAAGGCCUUCGGGUUGUAAAGCUCUUUUGUCAGGGAAGAAACGGUUUUGGCUAAUAUCCAGAACUAAUGACGGUACCUAAGAAUAAGCACCGGCUAACUACGU